rnacentral:tRNA from 1 species
GGGGCCGUGGGGUAGCUUGGUCCAUCCUUCGCGGUUCGGGACCUCGAGACGCCAGUUCAAAUCUGGCCGGCCCCACCA